GCAGUAGCCGCGGUAAUACGGAGGGUGCAAGCGUUAAUCGGAAUUACUGGGCGUAAAGGGUGCGUAGGCGGUUAUUUAAGUCUGUUGUGAAAUCCCCGGGCUCAACCUGGGAAUGGCAAUGGAUACUGGAUAGCUAGAGUGUGUCAGAGGAUGGUGGAAUUCCCGGUGUAGCGGUGAAAUGCGUAGAGAUCGGGAGGAACAUCAGUGGCGAAGGCGGCCAUCUGGGACAACACUGACGCUGAAGCACGAAAGCGUGGGGAGCAAACAGGAUUAGAUACCCCUGUAGUCCCUGUCUCUUAUAC
rnacentral:rRNA from 1 species